rnacentral:rRNA from 1 species
CCUACGGGUGGCUGCAGUGAGGAAUAUUUGUCAAUGGCCGGAAGGCUGAACCAGCCAAGUCGCGUGAGGGAAUAAGGCCCUAUGGGUCGUAAACCUCUUUUGUCAGGGAGCAAAGGCGUCCACGUGUGGACGAGAGGAGAGUACCUGAAGAAAAAGCAUGGGCUAACUCCGUCCCAGCGGCCGCGGUAAUACGGAGGACGCGAGGUUUAUCCGGAUUGAUUGGGUUUAAGGGGGGCGUAGGCGGUGUGUCAAGCCGGCGGUAAAAUUUCGGGGCUCAACCCCGUCGUGCCGUUGAAACUGACGCCCUUGAGUGAGUGAGAAGUAAGCGGAAUGCGUGGUGUAGCGGUGAAAUGCAUAGAUAUCACGCAGAACGCCGAUUGCGAAGGCAGCUUACCGACGCUCAACUGACGCUGAGGCACGAAAGUGCGGGUAUCGAACAGGAUUAGAUACCCUAGUAGUC